UACGGAGGGUGCGAGCGUUGUCCGGAUUUAUUGGGUUUAAAGGGUGCGUAGGUGGCUAUUUAAGCCAGUGGUGAAAGCCCAUCGCUUAACGAUGGAACUGCCAUUGGAACUGAAUAGCUUGAGUAUCGUUGAAGUAGGCGGAAUUUAUGGUGUAGCGGUGAAAUGCAUAGAUACCAUAAAGAACACCGAUAGCGUAGGCAGCUUACUAAGCGAUAACUGACACUGAGGCACGAAAGCAUGGGGAGCGAACAGG
rnacentral:rRNA from 1 species